rnacentral:rRNA from 1 species
CCUACGGGAGGCAGCAGUGGGGAAUAUUGGGCAAUGGAGGAAACUCUGACCCAGCGACGCCGCGUGCGGGAUGAAGGCCUUCGGGUUGUAAACCGCUUUCAGUAGGGAAGAAGCGAAAGUGACGGUACCUACAGAAGAAGCACCGGCUAACUAUGUGCCAGCAGCCGCGGUAAUACAUAGGGUGCAAGCGUUGUCCGGAAUUAUUGGGCGUAAAGAGCUCGUAGGUGGUUCGUCACGUCGGAUGUGAAAAUCUGGGGCUCAACCCCAGACCUGCAUUCGAUACGGGCGAUCUAGAGUGUGGUAGGGGAGACUGGAAUUCCUGGUGUAGCGGUGGAAUGCGCAGAUAUCAGGAGGAACACCAAUGGCGAAGGCAGGUCUCUGGGCCAUUGCUGACACUGAGGAGCGAAAGCGUGGGGAGCGAACAGGAUUAGAUACCCUGGUAGUCCACGCCGUAAACGGUGGGCACUAGUUGUGGGAACCUUCCACGGUUUCUGCGACGCNGCUACGACAUAGUGCCCGCCGUCGGGAGUACGAGUCGCGAAGAAUUAAAACGUUAAAAGUAAAGUUAGACGGCGUGAGACGUAGCCGAACGGACGACGACGAGGGAGUAGG